GCUUCUGUGGUGGAAUGGUAGACACAGCAGACUCAAAAUCUGUUGCCUGGAAAGGCAUGCUGGUUCAAGUCCGGCCAGGAGCA
rnacentral:tRNA from 1 species